GACGAAGGAUCCAAGCGUUAUCCGGAUUUAUUGGGUUUAAAGGGUGCGUAGGCGGAUUGAUAAAUCAGUGGUGAAAGCCUGCAGCUUAACUGCAGAACUGCCAUUGAUACUGUCAAUCUUGAAUAUGUUUGAUGUGGGCGGAAUAUGACAUGUAGCGGUGAAAUGCUUAGAUAUGUCAUAGAACACCGAUUGCGAAGGCAGCUCACAAAGCCAUUAUUGACGCUGAGGCACGAAAGCGUGGGGAUCAAACAGG
rnacentral:rRNA from 1 species